GUUGCUUCCCUGAAUUUAAUCUGAGUGACCAAAUCAUGGGUUUUGGUCAUUUGUUUUGAGAAGCAUAUAUUGAGCUUUGUUAAAAGUACCAGCUUUAAACAGCAUAAUGGUUUUUGUCAAUAGCAUUGUGUUACCUGUCAUCUGGUACAUGA